rnacentral:rRNA from 1 species
GAUGAACGCUGGCGGCGUGCCUAAUACAUGCAAGUCGAGCGAACGGACGAGAAGCUUGCUUCUCUGAUGUUAGCGGCGGACGGGUGAGUAACACGUGGAUAACCUACCUAUAAGACUGGGAUAACUUCGGGAAACCGUAGCUAAUACCGGAUAAUAUUUUGAACCGCAUGGUUCAAUAGUGAAAGACGGUCUUGCUGUCACUUAUAGAUGGAUCCGCGCUGCAUUAGCUAGUUGGUAAGGUAACGGCUUACCAAGGCAACGAUGCAUAGCCGACCUGAGAGGGUGAUCGGCCACACUGGAACUGAGACACGGUCCAGACUCCUACGGGAGGCAGCAGUAGGGAAUCUUCCGCAAAGGGCGAAAGCCUGACGGAGCAACGCCGCGUGAGUGAUGAAGGUCUUCGGAUCGUAAAACUCUGUUAUUAGGGAAGAACAUAUGUGUAAGUAACUGUGCACAUCUUGACGGUACCUAAUCAGAAAGCCACGGCUAACUACGUG